rnacentral:lncRNA from 1 species
GGACUGGCCUCGGGGGACGGGGGCAGCCACAUACACCCCUUCCUGGGCACAGACCCCUGCAGGCUUGGUGGCAAAUGGGAAGAAAGAAGUACCAAGGGGAACUUACUUGCCGCCUCCGGGGAGAAGCACAGUCUCAGGGCGCGGACCGCUCCCACCGCCAGACUGAGGGCCACACCAAGGGCCAUGCUGACAGCCACACCUAUGGCCAGACUGACCUCAGUCACAGGCGCUGCAGUUCAUCGCGCCGCCGGGAGAGGGCAGCCUGGGCGCAGACACCCCCAACCAGUGUGGAAGCUGCUGGUGAGCGCGACCCUGGAAACCAGCUCUGCCAGGGGACAAAUGUGUACCACCUGAGUCAGAGCACCUGGAGGCGGGAAGAGACACCUUGCGUCCGACACUCGGGACCUCCAUACACAAGUGGACAACAGAAAGGAAGGGAGAGAAGUGACAACACACAGAUCAACCUCCCAGACAACAUGGAGAAGGAAGCCGAGGCGAGAACGGGCCGGGAAGGAAGCCGCGAGGGUCACAGGGAAGGGGAUGGAGCGGACAGCACGCCGACCUCACUAACAACUGAAAACUCCGGUUCUCUGGGAAAUUUCAUCCUGAGCGAGCCGCCGGCCUGGUCGGUGCGAGGCAGACAGUAGGGUCCGCAGGAUAAUAAACACCAAGGAUGAAGGAGGUAUAGUACUUGGAACUAACCUAAAAAAAUUGCGGAAAGACAAAAUCACAGACCCAAUAUCUCUUAGAUGUAUCAAGGCAAUAAUGUUAAAUAAGUAUUAGCAGGCAGUGUCCAACAGCAGGUGAAGAAAGUAACACACGGUGACAGAGUAGGAUCCAUCCCAGGAUUCAAUGGGAGAUAAACACUAGGGAAUCUGUCAAUACAGCUGCUCAUAAUGGGGCGUCUGGGUGUCUCACGCUCUGUGCCCUCCCUUCCCGGGCUCCUUGCCAACCCCGGGCGCGGCAGGAUGGGUGCGGUCCACUGACCGGCUCCGGGAAUGGGACCAGUGACCGUCUUAGAGCCCGCUGGACACUCGGAAAGCUGCGAUCCCAUUCUUCUGUGAGGGUCGCGUGCGGAGCUGUGGACGCGGGAGAGUCCCCCUAGCAGCCCCCUGGCUCUCAGCACGCAAAUCCCCCUGGUCCCCGGAGGAAGAGGCCUGCGUCAAAGGCACAGCUGAUCUGGUUGUGAAGAGCCUGGCCAGAUUCCGAGGCCGCGAGUGAGAGACAGGGAGCAGAGAGAGAGGGACACACAGAAUCCGAAGCAGCUCCAGGCUCCGAGCUGUCAGUACAGAGCCUGACGCGGGGCUGGAACUCACAAGCCGAACGAUCAAGACCGGAGCCAAAGUCGGAAGCUCAACCGACUGGGCCGCCCUGGCGCCCCUGGGGUCCCUCCCUUCUGUACAGGUAAAGAUGGUAUUGAGACAAAGAACACAAAAAGGUUUUUUUGUUUGUUUUGUUUAGUGUAGAUUUUUUAUUUAUAGUUUAUUGUCAAAUCGGUUUCCGUAUAACACCC